AGAGUUUGAUCAUGGCUCAGGAUGAACGCUAGCUACAGGCUUAACACAUGCAAGUCGAGGGGAAACGACAUCGAAAGCUUGCUUUUGAUGGGCGUCGACCGGCGCACGGGUGAGUAACGCGUAUCCAACCUGCCCACCACUUGGGGAUAACCUUGCGAAAGUAAGACUAAUACCCAAUGACGUCUCUAGAAGACAUCUGAAGGAGAUUAAAGAAAUUUAUCGGUGAUGGAUGGGGAUGCGUCUGAUUAGCUUGUUGGCGGGGUAACGGCCACCAAGGCGACGAUCAGUAGGGGUUCUGAGAGGAAGGUCCCCCANAUUGGAACUGAGACACGGUCCAAACUCCUACGGGAGCA
rnacentral:rRNA from 1 species